CACCAAAGUGUUGAGUUCAGGUCUGGGCUGCUUCCCCAGUCCUGGUAAUUAAUCUUUGGUACAUCAGAUGGUUGAAGGUGAGAAUUAUAAGGUUGCACGUGUGCUGCUGCUUUCACAUCUUCACCAACAGCC